CUCAUUGCAACAGAUAGCUGAUCUGAGAAAAGACAGUUCUCAUAAGAGCCUGCUCAAGCUGCUAAGCCAGUUCUGCAUAAAGCUGAAUAAAAGCAUAUGUGUAAUGUCAAGAUACUGAGGACUGGGGACUUAAACCCCGGUCACGUAAGUGCUUCUCCUGAGCUUUCCGCCUCCCUGCAGAAGCCUGAGUCUACGUCUCCCAUCUUGUCGCUGACUCAGCUGCCGGGCACAGCUAAGCAGAGAGGUGCUGGAGUGCAGCUCCCCGGGCACAUUUUUCCCCACUGUCGACCUCCCGGUUUCUGCGGGAGGGUGAGAGCCUAAGAAAAGCAGGAGGUGCCUGGCUCCAAGUUGCCAAACUACCUCCUGUCAUGAAGUUAACAAAUUGUCAACUGCAAAGGGACCCUGGGAGACCACUGGUUUUCCCCAGCGCCAUUGGAGGUCAACACAGUGAUGUCUGCACAAGCCCACUGAAGCUCCGUUAUCUCCCUGAUCUUGCUGGGAGAAGCUCGGCCUCUAGAUUCUGGCGUCUGGAGAGGUGGCCGUGGUGAGGCCUGGGGACAUGUUUUCAGCCCUAGACCAACAGCUGUGUUUCCAGCCAGUGAUCGUCGGUUCCUGUGCUUGGAGACAAAGAAUUGAAACCAAACACCAAAGUAGCGGGGCAUCAGCAGAAAGUUUUAUUUAGCAAGCACACGCCCAGACGGACGCGGAAGGGGGCCGUCAAAGGCGCAAGC